rnacentral:sRNA from 1 species
UUUUAUAGGUUACUUUGCGAAAGGCCCUCGAGCAUCCCAGUGCUCGCUCUCAUCUUGCCUUGCACCACCUUCGACAUAAACUUACCUCAUUAGUAUAUAAAAGCUUGCCUGAUCUUCCCAAGCACAUAUACUUUCACCCUAUACCAUCAUACGCCAACAGACAAGUGUUAAGAGGUAUAUCAUACAUAUACUUCAUUACUUAGUUAAAGUACGACUUUCCAUCUCAUCUCCAAGGCCGGAGCUUGUUGUUGGGACAAGUCGUAACACUCCUCCCCUUUCUCCGCCCCAAUUAUGCUAAUCGUUGUUGUUCCUAUUAUCUUUCAUGUCCAUUUCUAAUGAACGGCAAACAGACUUAAUUUCAUACCAGAAACAUUUUUGUUCAGAUUUACAACAUGCAUUUUGUGG